rnacentral:rRNA from 1 species
UACGUAGGGUGCGAGCGUUGUCCGGAAUUAUUGGGCGUAAAGAGCUCGUAGGCGGUGUGUCACGUCGGCCGUGAAAACCUGGGGCUUAACUCUGGGCGUGCGGUCGAUACGGGCAUCACUAGAGUUCGGCAGGGGAGACUGGAAUUCCUGGUGUAGCGGUGAAAUGCGUAGAUAUCAGGAGGAAUACCGGUGGCGAAAGCGACUCUCCGGACGGCAACUGACGCUGAGGCACGAAAGCGUGGGGAGCAAACAGG